AGCGAGCGCUGGCGGCAGGCUUAACACAUGCAAGUCGAGCGCCGUAGCAAUACGGAGCGGCAGACGGGAGAGUAACGCGUGGGAACGUGACCUUUGGUUCGGAACAACCCAGGGAAACUUGGGCUAAUACCGGAUAAGCCCUUACGUGGAAAGAUUUAACGCCGAAGGAACGGCCCGCGUCAGGUUAGCUAGUUGGUGGGGUAACGGCCCACCAAGGCGACGAUCAGUAGCUGGUCUGAGAGGAUGAUCAGCCUAACUGGGACUGAGACACGGCCCAGACUCCGACGGGAGGCAGCAGUGGGGAAUAUUGGACAAUGGGCGCAAGCCUGAUCCAGCCAUGCCGCGUGGGUGAUGAAGGCCCUAGGGUUGUAAAGCCCUUUCGGCGGGGAAGAUAAUGACGGUACCCGCAGAAGAAGCCCCGGCUAACUUCGUGCCAGCCGCCGCCGUAACAC
rnacentral:rRNA from 1 species